GCGAGAAAAAAAACGGAGUCGACGUAUAGUAAAGAGACGGACUCGAGAGCGAUGUGAAAGGGAGAAAAGAAAAAAAGAAAGUACCAAUUCGGAGCUAGUCCGACGGCCACAUUUGCGGCGAACCUAGGGUAUUGAUUAGAAAAGUUUGUGAGACUUAUGGGCUUGGGUUUGGAAAUUGUAUUGAAGAGUGAAGUUUGGCUUGAAGAGUUGUUUCUCGCGUAUGGAAUUGCUUGGAAAAAAGAAUGGACUUGAAUUAUUGAAAUUGUUUUAAGCAUGUAGUUUUGUAAUUGGAAAUGGUUUGUAACUUGUAAUUGAGAUUGGAUUAUGAAUUGUAACUUAAUGGAGAUAUUGUAAAUUAAAAUGUGAAUAUGGAUUAGUUUGUAAAGAUCGAGUAUUGUAAUGGAAUGGAAAUUCCUUGAAUUGCAUUGAUUGUAAAGUUUUGUUUGAAUAAAUGAGAUUGGCUAGUUAUGGAAUUAAGUUGGGCUUUGAAAAUUUGGAUUGUAAUGAAUGUUUGAAUGUUAUGGAAAGUUUAUUUAUGGA